GGAGAGGUGGCCGAGUGGUCGAAGGCGCUCCCUGCUAAGGGAGUAUACCGGAGACGGUAUCGAGGGUUCAAUCCCUUCCUCUCCGCCA
rnacentral:tRNA from 1 species